rnacentral:rRNA from 1 species
CCUACGGGAGGCAGCAGUGAGGAAUAUUGGUCAAUGGACGAGAGUCUGAACCAGCCAAGUAGCGUGAAGGAUGACUGCCCUACGGGUUGUAAACUUCUUUUAUAAGGGAAUAAAGUGUUCCACGUGUGGCUUUUUGUAUGUACUAUAUGAAUAAGGAUCGGCUAACUCCGUGCCAGCAGCCGCGGUAAUACGGAGGAUCCGAGCGUUAUCCGGAUUUAUUGGGUUUAAAGGGAGCGUAGGUGGUUUGUUAAGUCAGUUGUGAAAGUUUGCGGCUCAACCGUAAAAUUGCAGUUGAGACUGGCAGUCUUGAGUACAGUAGAGGUGGGCGGAAUUCGUGGUGUAGCGGUUAAAUGCUUAGAUAUCACGAAGAACUCCGAUUGCGAAGGCAGCUCACUGGACUGCAACUGACACUGAGGCUCGAAAGUGUGGGUAUCAAACAGGAUUAGAUACCCGGGUAGUC